GGUCAAGAUACUAAGAGCAUAGGGUGAAUGCCUUGGCACUAGGAGCCGAAGAAGGACGGGAUAAGCACCGAAAUGCUACGGGGAGUCGCAAGUAGACAUAGAUCCGUAGAUAUCCGAAUGGGGAAACCCACCUAAGGAGAACCUUAGGAAUCAUCUACUGAAUCCAUAGGUAGAUAGAAGGCAGACCAGGGGAACUGAAACAUCUAAGUACCCUGAGGAAGAGAAAGAAACAUCGAUUCCCUAAGUAGCGGCGAGCGAACGGGGAAGAGCCCAAACCAGUAGAGGUAACUUUACUGGGGUUGCGGACCAGCAUAACGGUAGGGAAAAUCUAUAGUAGAAGAGGUCUGGAAAGGCCCACCACAGAAGGUGAAAGUCCAGUAUACGAAAUAGAUAACCCACCAGCUGAGAUCCAGAGUACCACGAGACACGAGAAACCUUGUGGGAAGCAGGGGGGCCCACCCCCCAAGGCUAAAUACUACCUAGUGACCGAUAGAGAAUAGUACCGUGAGGGAAAGGUGAAAAGAACCCCGGAGGGGAGUGAAAAAGAACCUGAAACCCUAUGUUUACAAGCAGUGGAAGUUCUAUAUAUGAACGACCGCGUACUUUUUGUAGAACGGGCCAACGAGUUACGAUAUGCAGCAAGGUUAAGUACUUAAGGUAUGGAGCCGUAGGGAAACCGAGUCUAAAUAGGGCGAUUAAGUUGCAUGUCGUAGACCCGAAACCGGGUGACCUACCCAUGGGCAGGUUGAAGUUGAGGUAAAACUCAAUGGAGGACCGAACCGCUUAGCGUUUAAAAGCUAUCGGAUGACCUGUGGGUAGCGGUGAAAUUCCAAUCGAACCCGGAUAUAGCUGGUUCUCCUCGAAAUAGCUUUAGGGCUAGCCUCAAGGAAAGUGACGUGGAGGUAGAGCACUGACUGGUCUAGGGGCGCGCAUGCGUUACCAAAACCUAUCAAACUCCGAAUGCCACAGUCAUAUACUUGGGAGUCAGACUAUGUGAGAUAAGUUUCAUAGUCAAAAGGGAAACAGCCCAGACCACCAUCUAAGGUCCCAAAGUACAAGUUAAGUGGGAAAGGAUGUAAGACUACACAGACAACCAGGAUGUUGGCUUAGAAGCAGCCACACAUUCAAAGAGUGCGUAAUAGCUCACUGGUCGAGUGGUCUUGCGCCGAAGAUUACCGGGGCUCAAACUAGUCACCGAAGAUGUGGGAUACGUAAGUAUCGGUAGAGGAGCAUUGUAUACAGGUAGAAGCUAUACCGAAAGGAGUAGUGGACAGUAUACAAGAGAGAAUGUUGGCAUGAGUAGCGAGAGGUGAGUGAGAAUCUCACCCAUCGAAAGCCUAAGGUUUCCUGAGGAAGGCUCGUCCACUCAGGGUUAGUCGGGACCUAAGCCCAGGCCAAAAGGCGUAGGCGAUGGACAACAGGUUGAAAUUCCUGUACUACCAGAAGGCGCUAAAAGAGAAGGAGUGACGCAGGAGGAUAGGUUAAGCACACCGUUGGUUGAGUGUGCCUAAGCAAGUAGGGAGUAUCUAAAGGCAAAUCCGUAGAUACAAUAUCCUGAGAAGUGAUGGGGAGCGAAAUACAAGUAGCGAACUAACUGAAUCCACACUGCCAAGAAAAGCUUCUAUCAAGCCUAAAGGUACCCGUACCGCAAACCGACACAGGUAGGCGAGGAGAGAAUCCUAAGAUGAGCGGAAGAACUCUUGUUAAGGAACUCGGCAAAUUAACCCCGUAACUUCGGGAGAAGGGGUGCCGAGGGAGGUGAAGUGCAAGCCACAUAAGCCUCCUUCGGCCGCAGUGAAUAGGCCCAGGCGACUGUUUACCAAAAACACAGGUCUCUGCUAAAUCGAAAGAUGAAGUAUAGGGGCUGACACCUGCCCGGUGCUGGAAGGUUAAGGGGAAUGCUUAGCGCAAGCGAAGGUAAGAACUUAAGCCCCAGUAAACGGCGGCCGUAACUAUAACGGUCCUAAGGUAGCGAAAUUCCUUGUCGGGUAAGUUCCGACCCGCACGAAAGGUGUAACGAUCUGGGCACUGUCUCAACAAGAGAUCCGGUGAAAUUGUAGUACUCGUGAAGAUGCGAGUUACCCGCGACUAGACGGAAAGACCCCGUGGAGCUUUACUGCAAGCUGACAUUGGAUUUUGGUAUCCUAUGUACAGAAUAGGUGGGAGACAGAGAAAUCAGUGCGCCAGCAUUGGUGGAGUCGUCGUUGGGAUACCACCCUUAUGAUACUGAAGUUCUAACCAUAGGCCAUGAAACUGGUUUUGGGACACUGUCAGUUGGGCAGUUUGACUGGGGCGGUCGCCUCCUAAAAAGUAACGGAGGCGCUCAAAGGUUCCCUCAGCACGGUCGGAAAUCGUGCGAAGAGUGUAAAGGCAGAAGGGAGCUUGACUGCGAGACCUACAAGUCGAGCAGGAACGAAAGUUGGACUUAGUGAUCCGGUGGCGCCGAGUGGAAGGGCCAUCGCUCAACGGAUAAAAGCUACCCCGGGGAUAACAGGCUUAUCUCCCCCAAGAGUCCACAUCGACGGGGAGGUUUGGCACCUCGAUGUCGGCUCGUCUCAUCCUGGAGCUGUAGCAGGUUCCAAGGGUUGGGCUGUUCGCCCAUUAAAGAGGCACGCGAGCUGGGUUCAGAACGUCGUGAGACAGUUCGGUCCCUAUCUGUCGUGGGCGUAGGAAAUUUGAAAGGAGCUGUUCCUAGUACGAGAGGACCGGAAUGGACAGACCACUAGUGUAUCAGUUGUCCUGCCAAGGGCAUGGCUGAGUAGCCAAGUCUGGUAGGGAUAAGCGCUGAAGGCAUCUAAGCGCGAAGCCCCCCUUAAGAAAAGAUUUCCCAUCUGGUAAACAGAGUAAGACCCCAGAAAGACUAACUGGUUGAUAGGUCGUAGGUGUAAGAGCAGCAAUGCUUUAAGCUAAACGAUACUAAUAGGUCGAGGGCUUGACCAG
rnacentral:rRNA from 1 species